AUCAUUCUUUUUAUUAUAUAAUAUGAGGCCUUUUAUGCAUGGUUUUUACUGUUUUCCCUCUGUCCCUAAGCCAGACUUUGUAUCUUCAACCUCGCUUAAUUCUAAAUUAAAUAUUUAAAUAAUGUAGAUUUCAAGUACAAAUGAUAAAAUACCAUUUAUUUCAAUUCUACAUAUUAUAUAUUGUGAUACAUAUUCACAUUUUCCUAUAUUUUUCAUAAAUAGAACCCUUGUCCCUUGGGGUCACUGUCAUUUCCACCACACUGUACAAAAUAGAAUCCUGGGAUCAGUGUUUUAGGUUUGUAUAUUUAGUAACCAUAGCAACAGAAACUCCACAGUGGAACACAUGGCUGGAUGAAAUGGUGUCCUCUACAGGGGGUAAUGAAAAGAAGAAAAAUCAAGAUGGCAAGCAAUACCACAGCACAGAGGUCAAGAUCAUACAGAGAAAGAAUAAAAUCAGAUCCACUUAAAUAUGCAGAGUCCCUCAAGAAGGACAGAGAAAGAUACCUGAAGAAAA